GUGUCAGCAGCCGCGGUAAUACGAAGGGGGCUAGCGUUGCUCGGAAUGACUGGGCGUAAAGGGCGCGUAGGCGGAUUGGACAGUCGGACGUGAAAUUCCAGGGCUCAACCUUGGGGCUGCGUUCGAGACGUUUGGUCUAGAGUGUGGAAGAGGGUCGUGGAAUUCCCGGUGUAGCGGUGAAAUGCGCAGAUAUCGGGAAGAACACCCGUGGCGAAGGCGGCUCUCUGGGACGGUACUGACGCUGAGACGCGAAAGCGUGGGGAGCGAACAGGAUUAGAUACCCUCGUAGUCC
rnacentral:rRNA from 1 species